rnacentral:rRNA from 1 species
UACGUAGGGUGCGAGCGUUAAUCGGAAUUACUGGGCGUAAAGUGUGCGCAGGCGGCCGCGCAAGUCGAGUGUGAAAGCCCCGAGCUUAACUUGGGAACUGCGCUCGAAACUACGUGGCUGGAGUGUGGCAGAGGAAGGUGGAAUUCCAGGUGUAGCGGUGAAAUGCGCAGAUAUCAGGAGGAACACCGGUGGCGAAGGCGGGUCUCUGGGCCGAUACUGACGCUGAGGAGCGAAAGCGUGGGGAGCGAACAGG